rnacentral:rRNA from 1 species
AUUGAACGCUGGCGGCAGGCCUAACACAUGCAAGUCGAGCGAGCGGCGGACGGGUGAGUAAUGUCUGGGAAACUGCCUGAUGGAGGGGGAUAACGACUGGAAACGGUAGCUAAUACCGCAUACCAUCAGAUGUGCCCAGAUGGGAUUGGCUAGUAGGUGGGGUAAUGGCUCACCUAGGCGACGAUCCCUAGCCGGUCUUGGAGUAUGACCCGCCACACUGGAACUGAGACACGGUCCAGACUCCUACGGGAGGCAGCAGUGGGGAAUAGUGGACAAUGGGCGCAAGCCUGAUGCAGCCAUGCCGCGUGUGUGAAGAAGGCCUUCGGGUUGUAAAGCACUUUCAGCGAGGAGGCGUUACUCGCAGAAGAAGCACCGGCUAACUCCGUGCCAGCAGCCGCGGUAAUUC